rnacentral:rRNA from 1 species
AAACUUUCAACAACGGAUCUCUUGGCUCUGGCAUCGAUGAAAGAACGCAGCGAAACGCGAUAAGUAAUGUGAAUUGCAGAAUCCAGUGAAUCAUCGAAUCUUUGAACGCACAUUGCGCCCGCCAGCAUUCUGGCGGGCAUGCCUGUUCGAGCGUCAUUU